UAGAUCUAAUUUUUAUCAUAAAAAAUUAAAAAAAAAAUUCUUCUUAAAGGUAUGAAAGGAAGAGAGAAAAGUUCUCUCUUAUGUGUGGGAGAAUUAAAAAGAAAGGAUUCUUCUCUUGAUCUCUAUUGUAGAGAGUUGAUAUGUAGAUUCAGGAAGAAAAAGAGUGGGUCUCCUCAUUCUUUAUCCUCUUCAUGUUCCUCUU
rnacentral:lncRNA from 1 species